GAGCUACUGUGAGUUCCAGGUGGCUCCUAAGCUGUGCCUGGGGCCUUUUGAGGGGCUCUCCAGUUGGGAUUCACAGGAAACAAUAGAAAUGCAAGAAAAGGGCUCAUAGAUGCACCCCAGCACCUAACUAGUGUUGCUUCUUCUCUAGGCACCGGCUUCUUCUUGACAACGUCCCCGGGUGACUCUUAGAACUCAAUGGCCACGUCCAGCUCAGAGUUAUCCGGACAGCUGUAGUUGCACACGUGAUAACUGGCGGCACCCACUCUUACCACGUGACCAUGUGUUCUCGCCAUGUGACUGUGGCAGUUCCAUGAUGAGGACUCCUCUCAGUUUCCACUCUGUCACAGCCCUGCCCUGGACUCAUGUGGACACCCGAACCUUUGCUGUGUGAGUUGUCAUCUCUCCUAGGACCUAGCCUACAACAUACAACAUAAGAUUGUAGUGUCACUGCCCCCCUGGUAGUGUCACUGCUCCCCCUGGGUCUCAGACUACCUGCCUGUGAAGUGGGAUUGUUCUCCACAUAGAUGUUUUGCUUAGCAUAGACCAAUACGAGGCAGCCUGAAGUGGGUCCUAUACCCCCAGCUCUGCCCUGUCCCCAGGGGCGGAGUUUACAACUCUCUCUGCCUCUAGUUUACAACUGGAUUCUGAAUAAGAGAGAGAAUAAUAAUGGGGAGCAUAAAGGAGGCCAAUAACCCCUGGAUCCACCCCUCCGUGGGGCUCUGGCUGGUCACUGAGUUCCUACUGCCCUCUGCCUAGAAAGGCGUGGAGAGCAGCCAUGGUGAGUGGGCAGUGGGACCCCUGGCUGGCCAGCGGAUGAAAAAGGGGCUCUAACUAGAUAAAUGAUGGUGCUUGUUUACAAAGUGGCUGAGGCAGGAUAGAACGUCUCUAGGGCCAUCCUAGCUGGAGCCAUCGAGAGUGGGGACCAGGCACAGCCACACACUCGUGAAGUGAGUCCUCCUGGGAUCCCUGUUGGUGGCCAUCUUGGCAACUGAUCCCUCAACCUAUUGGCCCCAGACAGGACUGCUCUACCUGGACCAUCUGUUCUAGGAGCACAGGCUGGCACCUGAGCCCCCUGGCUUGAGGCCUCCCCAGCAUGGGCAGAUUAGGACAUGUCCUGCAGAGAAACUAGGGCAGAAAAUUGUAACCCCGAAGCGCACAGGCCUAGGCAGCCUCACAUCUGCUACCAUUAAGUGUAAGAACUUCAGUGCUCUUUGACAGGCCCACCAUGGCCCACCAGGAGCCCCUUGAAGGGAGGUGUGGAAGUUGCUGGAAGCCCUGAGCGUGCUUGGAACUUCAGCAGGAGGAAGGCUCUGCUGGAAAGAGCCUGUUUAACACACUUUCUCUGACCAGACCAUCUCAGGCCUCAGCACAGGGCAGAGCCUUGUUUCCAU
rnacentral:lncRNA from 1 species